UCCUAGCCCUAAACGAUGGGUACUAGGUAGGGGGGAUUCCUAUAUUUUCCCUGCCGAAGCAAAAGUAUUAAGUACCCCGCCUGGGGAGUACGGUCGCAAGGCUAAAACUCAAAGGAAUUGACGGGGGCUCACACAAGCGGUGGAGCAUGUUGUUUAAUUCGAUGCAACGCGAAGAACCUUACCUGGGCCUGAAUGCAGGGAUUAAGCUGUGAAAGCAGUGGAUUCUCUUCGGA
rnacentral:rRNA from 1 species